AUGUGUGACCAUGCCGUCAGCGCCACCACCACAUAUGCCCUCUGGCACAAGAUUCAGGCCUUCUUUCUUGCCAAUCGCGAUGCGCGGUUCAUGAUCCUCAAUCGCCAGUAUCGCAACUUAAAACAGGGCGAUCUCUCCGUGUCCGACUACGCCCGCCGCAUGAAGCUCCUCACCGAUGCUCUCGCCGACAUCAACCACGCGGUCAUUGAGGUGGAUCUCACCACCCAAUUCCUCCAUGGCUUGGACAAGCGCCUCGACACCAUCCGCGUCGUCCUCGGCGAUCAAGGGCUUCCCUUCGACACCGUCCUCUCCCGCGUCGUCCUGGCCGAGGAGUCCCAGGCGCAGCGCGCGUCUGAGGAGAGCGCCUCCGCCUUCGCUCUGCCUGGCGGUGGCCACUCGGGCGGU
rnacentral:rRNA from 1 species